rnacentral:rRNA from 1 species
UCGCCUCUUGUUAAUCCCACAUAAGAGGUCCCGCCUGCCCAGUGACUCCUGGUUAAACGGCCGCGGUAUCCUGACCGUGCGAAGGUAGCGUAAUCACUUGUCCCUUAAAUGAGGACCCGUAUGAAUGGCACGACGAGGGCUUAGCUGUCUCCUUUCCCCGGCCAAUGAAAUUGAUCUUCCCGUGCAGAAGCGGGAAUACUGACAUAAGACGAGAAGACCCUAUGGAGCUUUAGACGCCAGAACAGACCAUGUAAUUACCUUCCCAAUAUGAGUAAAAACAAUUGGUUCCUGUCUCCCGUCUUUGGUUGGGGCGACCACGGGGAACAAGAAAACCCCCAUGUGGACCGGGAGCACAUAUUUUCUGACUCCUAGAACCAUGAGCAACCGCUCUAAAUUACAGAAUUUCUGACCAAAAAGAUCCGGCAACGCCGAUCAACGAAUCCAGUUACCCUAGGGAUAACAGCGCAAUCCUCUUCAAGAGUCCAUAUCGACAAGAGGGUUUACGACCUCGAUGUUGGAUCAAGACAUCCUAGUGGUGCAGCCGCUACUAAGGGUUCGUUUGUUCAACGAUUAAAGUCUUACGUGAUCUG